UACAGAGGUCUCAAGCGUUGUUCGGAUUCAUUGGGCGUAAAGGGUGUGUAGGUGGCGCCGUAAGUCGGGUGUGAAAUUUCGGAGCUUAACUCCGAAACUGCAUUCGAUACUGCGGUGCUUGAGGACUGGAGAGGAGACUGGAAUUCCUGGUGUAGCGGUGAAAUGCGCAGAUAUCAGGAGGAACACCGGUGGCGAAGGCGGGUCUCUGGGCCGAUGACUGACGCUGAGGAGCGAAAGCGUGGGGAGCGAACAGG
rnacentral:rRNA from 1 species